AAUUUUUUUCAGUUAUUGUUCACGUAGAAUUCGUCAUGUAGAAGAUGAAAUUCAAAUUCACCAACUCAAACUAAUAAAUACUUUUAGUACUAUAAAAAAGUACUUAAUCGACAUUCUAUUUUAUGGCCACUUUGCAAAGAAAUCGUUGAAUUUUAUUUUCUUUACAAGAUCCCGGAAACAUUAAAAGAUAAAAAAUUAGCAAGGUCUACGAGUUGAACCCCUUGAGUUACGAGUUAAGGCUUACAGCAGAAAUUUGGACAAACAAAUGUAUAAUGUACUACAUUAUGAGAUAUUUUUCGUUAUAUCAAUUGUGUGCUUUAAGACGAAUCAAUAAAACAGCAUGCGAGGUCUGUGAUAUUUUCUUAGUUCAAAAAUGUGAUAAGUUGACUAAAUUAUCUUCCUACAACACUUUGCUCAACAUAAACACAGAAGAAAAAUAUCAAUGUCGUGAUCUACCUUUAGUUGAAAUUUCAAAAUAUCAUACUCCAUCAGGCCCAUCUUAUUCCUUACUUCAGUCAUCAUUGAAUGACAAAUUGUCUAGCGAGUUAAAACCCUUGCAAAAACAUUUUUGUGCGUUAUGGUGUUUACCAAACAAGACAUUCUUUUAUGGUACAAAUUUCUGCAUAAAAUCGGUAAAUAAGGAUGAAUCAUAUUAUGUUUUAUUUCGAAUCAUUUCGAUUGUAUUGGGUAACGAAUAUAGACGAAUUUCAUUUUGUAAAUUCUUGAAUGUGUUUUCACGUCGAUGUUGUGAAAAUUCUCUCUGGAUUAGGCUCGCACGUGUUUGCGGCUUUAUACUUUCAGGACCGAAAAAUCAUCCUAUUUUCGUACCGGUGACCAUUCCAGAGAUAGAGAUAGAAACACAAAAAGUUGCGUUAAGAAAUUUAAAUUAUCUAUCAUUUUCUUUCUAUACCAAAAUCUUUAGUACCAAAUCAUUACAUCCACAUACUGAAGUGUUGAAACAUUUAUAUUUUUUAUGUAAUGCUUUUUUUUUUGUUUAUCCUUUGCACCGCCAUUCUUUAAGGCUUUAAAAAUUUUAUUCAAAUUUUAAAAAAUAGUUAAACAUAUAUUUAAAAC